rnacentral:rRNA from 1 species
GUACACUCCUACGGGAGGCAGCAGUGGGGAAUUUUGAACAAUGGGCGAAAGCCUGAUCCAGCAAUGCCGCGUGAGUGAAGAAGGCCUUCGGGUUGUAAAGCUCUUUUGUCAGGGAAGAAACGGUGAGAGCUAAUAUCUCUUGCUAAUGACGGUACCUGAAGAAUAAGCACCGGCUAACUACGUGCCAGCAGCCGCGGUAAUACGUAGGGUGCAAGCGUUAAUCGGAAUUACUGGGCGUAAAGCGUGCGCAGGCGGUUUUGUAAGUCUGAUGUGAAAUCCCCGGGCUCAACCUGGGAAUUGCAUUGGAGACUGCAAGGCUAGAAUCUGGCAGAGGGGGGUAGAAUUCCACGUGUAGCAGUGAAAUGCGUAGAUAUGUGGAGGAACACCGAUGGCGAAGGCAGCCCCCUGGGUCAAGAUUGACGCUCAUGCACGAAAGCGUGGGGAGCAAACAGGAUUAGAAACCCGUGUAGUCCC